rnacentral:rRNA from 1 species
CCUUCGGGAGCUUUUAUACAGGUGCUGCACGGCUGUCGUCAGCUCGUGUCGUGAGAUGUUGGGUUAAGUCCCGCAACGAGCGCAACCCUCGUCACUAGUUACUAACGGUUCGGCCGAGGACUCUAGUGAGACUGCCUUCGUAAGGAGGAGGAAGGUGAGGACGACGUCAAGUCAUCAUGGCCCUUACGGCUAGGGCAACACACGUGCUACAAUGGUUGGGACAAUGAGACGCAAUACCGCGAGGUGGAGCAAAUCUAUAAACCCAAUCUCAGUUCGGAUUGUUCUCUGCAACUCGAGAACAUGAAGCUGGAAUCACUAGUAAUCGUAGAUCAGCUAUGCUACGGUGAAUACGUUCCCGGGUCUUGUACUCACCGCCCGUCACACCAUGGGAGUUGAUUUCACCCGAAGCGGGGAAGCUAAACUGGCUACCCUCCACGGUGGAAUUAGCGACUGGGGUGAAGUCGUAACAAGGUA